rnacentral:rRNA from 1 species
UACGGAGGGUGCAAGCGUUAUCCGGAUUCACUGGGCGUAAAGGGUGCGUAGGCGGGUCUUUAAGUCAGGGGUGAAAUCCUGGAGCUCAACUUCAGAACUGCCUUUGAUACUGAGGAUCUUGAGUUCGGGAGAGGUGAGUGGAACUGCGAGUGUAGAGGUGAAAUUCGUAGAUAUUCGCAAGAACACCAGUGGCGAAGGCGGCUCACUGGCCCGAUACUGACGCUGAGGCACGAAAGCGUGGGGAGCAAACAGG